rnacentral:rRNA from 1 species
GUGGAUUAGAUACCCUGGUAGUCCACACAGUAAACGAUGAAUACUCGCUGUUUGCGAUAUACAGUAAGCGGCCAAGCGAAAGCAUUAAGUAUUCCACCUGGGGAGUACGCCGGCAACGGUGAAACUCAAAGGAAUUGACGGGGGCCCGCACAAGCGGAGGAACAUGUGGUUUAAUUCGAUGAUACGCGAGGAACCUUACCCGGGCUUGAAUUGCAGAGGAACAUAGUUGAAAGAUUAUGGCCGCAAGGUCUCUGUGAAGGUGCUGCACGGUCGUCGCCAACU